rnacentral:rRNA from 1 species
GACAGAGGCCCCAAGCGUUAGGCGGAAUCACUGGGCUUAAAGCGUGUGUAGGCGGACUUCUAAGUACCUUGUGAAAUCCCACAGCUUAACUUGGAAACUGCCAUGGAUACUAUCUGUCUUGAAUAUUGUGGAGGUGAGCGGAAUAUGUCAUGUAGCGGUGAAAUGCUUAGAUAUGACAUAGAACACCAAUUGCGAAGGCAGCUCGCUACACAUAUAUUGACUCGUGAAGGCACGAAAGCGUGGGGGAUCAAAACAGG